UACGGAGGGUGCGAGCGUUAAUCGGAAUUAUUGGGCGUAAAGCGCGCGUAGGCGGCUUGUUUAGUCGGAUGUGAAAGCCCCGGGCUCAACCUGGGAAUUGCAUUCGAUACUGGCAGACUAGAGUAUGGUAGAGGGUAGCGGAAUUCCCGGUGUAGCGGUGAAAGGCGUAGAGAUCGGAAGGAACAUCAGUGGCGAAGGCGGCCAUCUGGGACAACACUGACGCUGAAGCACGAAAGCGUGGGGAGCAAACAGG
rnacentral:rRNA from 1 species